GAUUGUAGGCNGCAACUCGCCUAUAUGAAGUUGGAAUUGCUAGUAAUCGCGGAUCAGCAUGCCGCGGUGAAUACGUUCCCGGGGCCUUGUACACACCGCCCGUCACACCAUGAGAGCCGGUAAUACCCGAAGUCAGUAUCCUAACCGCGAGGGGGGAGCUGCCGAAGGUAGGAUUGGCGAUUGGGGUGAAGUCGUAACAAGGUACC
rnacentral:rRNA from 1 species